rnacentral:rRNA from 1 species
AUUGAACGCUGGCGGCAAGCUUAACACAUGCAAGUCGAGCGGGGUGAGGUGCUUCGGUACUGAUCCUAGCGGCGGACGGGUGAGUAAUGCUUAGGAAUCUGCCAUUUAGUGGGGGACAACAUUCCGAAAGGAAUGCUAAUACCGCAUACGUCCUACGGGAGAAAGCAGGGGAUCUUCGGACCUUGCGCUAAAUGAUGAGCCUAAGUCGGAUUAGCUAGUUGGUGGGGUAAAGGCCUACCAAGGCGACGAUCUGUAGCGGGUCUGAGAGGAUGAUCCGCCACACUGGGACUGAGACACGGCCCAGACUCCUACGGGAGGCAGCAGUGGGGAAUAUUGGACAAUGGGCGGAAGCCUGAUCCAGCCAUGCCGCGUGUGUGGAGAAGGCCUUUUGGUUGUAAAGCACUUUAAGCGAGGAGGAGGCUACCUGGAUUAAUACUCUGGGAUAGUGGACGUUACUCGCAGAAUAAGCACCGGCUAACUCCGUGCCAGCAGCCGCGGUAA